UCACAGGUUGAACAUUAUUGUUCUACAGCAGAUGUUCCGUCAUUAACAUCUCUUGCCUAGAGUACAUCUAAAGCUUCUGAGAGAAGCCUUGUGCAACACCGAUGGUCACAUGCUGUCAAGUGACGAUUGAGGAAAGGGAGAAAUCAAUGGUGUGCACGGAGACAGCUGAAGUCACUGUUCAGCUGCAUACCUUCUGAAAAUGCACUGGGGGACAAGUUUAAAGGCAAACGUCAAGGCUUGUUAUGUAGUGAUAUUACGUGCAGUUAGUUAGAGCUAAUAAUUUGAAGAGGGUAAGCUAGAAAUGAGGAUUUUAAAAAAUCAACAAAUUGAGGGGUGAAGGUAAUAUGCUUAGCCCAUGUAGCUAAAAAUAACAUUGACUUCCAUUCAUUUGACACUGCUGCAUACAGGUUCUUGCUGUUAUAUUUUAAUAGUAGUUAUUGUUAGGGUUUGCAACAGUUGUUCCUUUGAUUUGAUCUUAAGUGGUGCCAAGAAACUGGCAAGCAAGUCCAAUUGGAGCUAUCAGACCUUGCAAAGGAAAAAGCAAGAAUGUUAAGUACAUCUAUACAGAUAAAAACCUCAUUUACUUUAAGUCGUGGUUAAAGGAAGCAUUGUCAUGUCCCUCCUUAUUCAUGGUACAACUAUGCUAGUCUUGGAAAUGGGUUAUGGAACUUGCGUGGAUGGUAGAUAGUUUGACACCUAAAGAGUACUUUUGAACUAGUGGAGUGGAAAGCUCAGAGCCAGUAUUAGUAGUUAUCUUGUUGUUCUCCAAAAGAAUGGACAGACAUCCCACUUCCUUGUUUCAUCACUAUGAAGUGUCUUGAAUCCGAGAUCAGUGUGUGUGUGUAGAUGGAUGUUGUGUUGCAGAGUGUUUUGCAGGCAUUUCAAUUCGUAGUUCAGCAACUGGAAUCAGAACAUCAGGUAUUUCUGUUAUCCAAUCGUCUUUUGUCCACUCAUAAGAUAUUCACAGUAGAUCAAAAGAAGUAUGCGUUUUUUGUAAUUGCAGUAGUGUUUUGGGCAGGGUGUUGUUUGUUUCUCUAUUAUUAUGCAGUCAAGUAGACUUGGCAAUACAAGCCAGAGAGAAUGAUCCCAGAGGGUCAUCAGCAAUUGGUAGAUCAUUGGCAUAUCAGUGGAAACUGGAUUCAAGCAAUGUAAGCUGACAAAAAUGAAUUUAUCACAAUUCCUGCAUUAGAUUAGUAUCAUCAAUGUGCCUGGUUUGCUACUUCAGCACCAAAACUGCACCUAUCAUGGACAGAUUUAACACAUCCCUGGGUGUUAUGUAUGGUGAUCAGUGCAAAUAAAGUUUACCAAGGAUUGUAUUUGCCA